AGUGAACGCUGGCGGCAGGCCUAACACAUGCAAGUCGAGCGGAAGAAGGGAGCUUGCUCCUGGAUUCAGCGGCGGACGGGUGAGUAAUGCCUAGGAAUCUGCCAGGUAGUGGGGGAUAACGUCCGGAAACGGGCGCUAAUACCGCAUAAGUCCUGAGGGAGAAAGGGGGGGAGCUUCGGACCUCACGCUAUCAGAUGAGCCUAGGUCGGAUUAGCUAGUUGGUGGGGUAAAGGCCUACCAAGGCGACGAUCCGUAACUGGUCUGAGAGGAUGAUCAGUCACACUGGAACUGAGACACGGUCCAGACUCCUACGGGAGGCAGCAGUGGGGAAUAUUGGACAAUGGGCGAAAGCCUGAUCCAGCCAUGCCGCGUGUGUGAAGAAGGUCUUCGGAUUGUAAAGCCCUUUUGGUUGGGAGGAAGAGCAGUAAGUUAAUACCUUGCUGUUUUGACGUUACCAAAAGAAUAAGCACCGGCUAACUUCGUG
rnacentral:rRNA from 1 species